rnacentral:rRNA from 1 species
GACGAACGCUGGCGGCGUGCUUAACACAUGCAAGUCGAACGGAGCUAUUUAUUUCGGUAGAUAGCUUAGUGGCAAACGGGUGAGUAACGCGUAGGCAACCUGCCCUCAGGAUGGGGACAACGGCUCGAAAGAGCCGCUAAUACCGAAUGACGUAACUCUUCCACAUGGAAGAGAUACUAAAGAUGGGUCAAACCAUCGCCUAAGGAUGGGCCUGCGUCUGAUUAGCCAGUUGGUGAGGUAACGGCUCACCAAAGCGACGAUCAGUAGCCGGUCUGAGAGGAUGAACGGCCACAAUGGGACUGAGACACGGCCCAUACUCCUACGGGAGGCAGCAGUGGGGAAUCUUCCGCAAUGGGCGAAAGCCUGACGGAGCAACGCCGCGUGAGUGAAGAAGGUCUUCGGAUCGUAAAGCUCUGUUGUCGGGGACGAAAGAGUAGACGAGGAAAUGCGUCUACUAAGACGGUAC